UUCACUAUUUGUUAGUUUUUUUUCUUUCCUUGUGAAUACCAACACAAAUCAAUCACUUUAUACAGGACACACAAGACAGUCUGGAUGUAACAUUCAGUAAAUCUCAGUAAACUUUCAACGUUUUUCCGAAGAUGAUUAUGUGGCAACUUCCAUCAAUGGCUUGAUACAUAAGUAGGAUAAAAGGACAAUAAUGUUUGUAAAGCUUGAGUACUUGACCAGGGCAUGAUUACCAUUAGCCUAGUAUUAGCAAGAAUCUCUGCAUUAAAAAAUUAAACCUUAUUUGAAUAAUUCUGUCUAUUUCACCCAGAACAACCACUUUUCAGCUAUCAGGGCAAAUAUAUUAUGAAUUUACAAAUGUGAUUGAAGGCACUGGACAGUAUUUUCCUUUUGGAAAAUAGUCCUCACAACUGUCCUGGAAGGUACUUGGUGGAAGGUGGAGAAAAGCUAACCGAUGCCAUGAUUAAAAUGAAGGAAAAAAAACGUUGAAUCUCCACAUAGUGUGGAAAGUAACGUUUUCCCCCCUAUUCUAUAAGCAUUGAGUCCAGUGGUUUGUUUAUCAUGCCUUUGCCAAUGUCUCUGGGUCGCUUCCAUCAAUGACAACCUCAUGUCCAUAUGGAAGAUGACCUCAAAGCCACAACGUAUCACAGACAGAUAUCCAGGUCCACGCUGUAUUUGUGUUCACCUCCAUGUAAUUGUUGUAAUAUACAAUUUAGGACCAUAUCUUCAUUUUAUUUAUUCUAUUUAUGAAUUACUAUGAGUUAUAGCUGUCUGAAAUAUUACAUUUCUAAGUGAUUUGUUAUUUUGCCAAACCAAAUUGUACGAUCUAAGCACAAUCAGUGUUAUUGAUUAGUUGAUCAAUACUUGUACAUCCCUAUUGACACUUGGAAAGAUUUUUCCUUCUUUCAUGACUGACAAGUCAGUGUGUAUGAUAUCGAGUCAGUGUAUAAGGACAUGUGUUCGUAAGGACAUGCAUGCAUCAGUGGAAUUGUUUUAUUUUCCCUUUUUUACUUAGACUCUAUUUUAUCCCAAAAGUGGGUGUUUGGGACUGAUAUCUGGACGUUUUAAUCAAUUUAAUUGAUUCUGAUCUUUGUUGGUGUGUGUUUGUCUCUGUAAAAAGACAAAUAGAUUUUUGCUCUCAAAAUUGUCGUUAUUUUAAAAUAUUUCAAAUUCCGUCAACAGAAUUGUCAAUAGGAAUAAUUGCUACGACAGAAAUAGAUUCAACAGAUUUAUUAUGGAACCAGAAGAAGUGUAAGAAGAGAAGUUCAGGCUUCUCUGCUCCUCUUGAUGAUUGGUUGUAAAUGCCUGUGAAUGAGGUGAAGGUAUUGGUAUUAUUAAAUGCCUGUGAAUGAGGUGAAGGUAUUGGUAUUAUUAAAUGCCUGUGAAUGAGGUGAAGGUGUUGGUAUUAUUAAAUGCCUGUGAAUGAGGUGAAGGUGUUGGUAUUAUUAAAUGCAUGUGAAUGAGGUGAAGGUAUUGGUAUUAUUAAAUGCCUGUGAAUGAGGUGAAGGUAUUGGUAUUAUUAAAUGCCUGUGAAUGAGGUGAAGGUAUUGGUAUUAUUAAAUGCCUGUGAAUGAGGUGAAGGUAUUGGUAUUAUUAAAUGCCUGUGAAUGAGGUGAAGGUAUUGGUAUUAUUAAAUGCCUGUGAAUGAGGUGAAGGUAUUGGUAUUAUUAAAUGCCCGUGAAUGAGGUGAAGGUAUUGGUAUUAUUAAAUGCCCGUGAAUGAGG